rnacentral:rRNA from 1 species
CCUACGGGGGACAGCAGUGAGGAAUAUUGGUCAAUGGGCGCGAGCCUGAACCAGCCAAGUCGCGUGAGGGAAGACGGUCUUAUGGAUGGUAAACCUCUUAGGUCGGGGAGCAAAAGACGCCACGCGUGGCGUUCCGAGAGUACUCGAAGAAAAAGCGUCGGCUAACUCCGUGCCAGCAGCCGCGGUCAUACGGAGGAUGCGAGCGUUAUCCGGAUUUAGUGGGUGUAAGGGGUGCGCAGGCGGAAGAUCAAGUCAGCGGUAAAAUUGAGAGGCUCAACCUCUUCGAGCCGUUGAAACUGGUUUUCUUGAGUGAGCGAGAAGUAUGCGGAAUGCGUGGUGUAGCGGUGAAAUGCAUAGAUAUCAGGCAGAACUCCGAUUGCGAAGGCAGCAUACCGGCGCUCAACUGACGCUCAUGCACGAAAGUGUGGGUAUCGAACAGGAUUAGAUACCCGAGUAGUC